UCAAGUAAUUAAGUGCAUGUGGUGGAUGCCUUGGCAGUCAGAGGCGAUGAAAGACGUGAUAGCCUGCGAAAAGCUCCGGGGAGGCGGCAAAUAUCCUUUGAUCCGGAGAUGUCUGAAUGGGGGAACCCACCUACUUUAAGGUAGGUAUUGCAACAUGAAUACAUAGUGUUGCAAGGCGAACGAGGGGAAGUGAAACAUCUCAGUACCCUUAGGAAAAGAAAUCAAUUGAGAUUCCCUCAGUAGCGGCGAGCGAACGGGGAUCAGCCCAUUAAGUUAUGUGUGUUUUAGUGGAACGCUCUGGGAAGUGCGAACGUAGAGGGUGAUAUUCCCGUACACGAAAGGGCACACAUAAUGAUGACGAGUAGGGCGAGGCACGUGAAACCUUGUCUGAAUAUGGGGGGACCAUCCUCCAAGGCUAAAUACUCCUGACUGACCGAUAGUGAACCAGUACCGUGAGGGAAAGGCGAAAAGAACCCCUGUGAGGGGAGUGAAAUAGAUCCUGAAACCGCAUGCAUACAAGCAGUGGGAGCACCUUCGUGGUGUGACUGCGUACCUUUUGUAUAAUGGGUCAGCGACUUAUAUUCAGUAGCGAGGUUAACCGUAUAGGGGAGCCGUAGAGAAAUCGAGUCUUAAUAGGGCGUUUAGUUGCUGGGUAUAGACCCGAAACCAGGCGAUCUAUCCAUGAGCAGGUUGAAGGUUGGGUAACACUAACUGGAGGACCGAACCCACUGUCGUUGAAAAGCCAGGGGAUGACUUGUGGAUAGGGGUGAAAGGCUAAUCAAGCCUGGUGAUAGCUGGUUCUCCCCGAAAGCUAUUUAGGUAGCGCCUCGGACGAAUACCAUAGGGGGUAGAGCACUGUUUCGGCUAGGGGGUCAUCCCGACUUACCAAACCGAUGCAAACUCCGAAUACCUAUGAGUACUAUCCGGGAGACAGACUGCGGGUGCUAACGUCCGUAGUCAAGAGGAAAACAAUCCAGACCGCCAGCUAAGGCCCCAAAAUCAUAGUUAAGUGGGAAACGAUGUGGGAAGGCAUAGACAGCUAGGAGGUUGGCUUAGAAGCAGCCACCCUUUAAAGAAAGCGUAAUAGCUCACUAGUCGAGUCGGCCUGCGCGGAAGAUGUAACGGGGCUAAAACUAUGUGCCGAAGCUGCGGAUGUAUACUUUGUAUACGUGGUAGGGGAGCGUUCUGUAAGCCGAUGAAGGUGUGUUGAGAAGCAUGCUGGAGGUAUCAGAAGUGCGAAUGCUGACGUGAGUAACGACAAAACGGGUGAAAAACCCGUUCGCCGAAAGACCAAGGGUUCCAGUCCAACGUUAAUCGGGGCUGGGUGAGUCGACCCCUAAGGCGAGGCCGAAAGGCGUAGUCGAUGGGAAAAUGGUUAAUAUUCCAUUACUUCUGUGUAAUGCGAUGAGAGGACGGAGAAGGCUAAAUCAGCCUGGCGUUGGUUGUCCAGGUGAAAGGAUGUAGGCAUGUAUCUUAGGCAAAUCCGGGGUACUCUAUGCUGAGAUCUGAUAGCAAGCUGUACUUGUACAGCGAAGUGGUUGAUGCCAUGCUUCCAGGAAAAGUCUCUAAGCUUCAGUUACACAGGAAUCGUACCCGAAACCGACACAGGUGGUCAGGUCGAGUAGACCAAGGCGCUUGAGAGAACUCUGCUGAAGGAACUAGGCAAAAUGGUACCGUAACUUCGGGAGAAGGUACGCUGUUGUUGGUGAUGGAACUCGCUUCCUGAGCUGACGACAGCCGCAGAAACCAGGCCGCUGCAACUGUUUAUUAAAAACAUAGCACUCUGCAAACACGAAAGUGGACGUAUAGGGUGUGAUGCCUGCCCGGUGCUGGAAGGUUAAUUGAUGGGGUUAGCGUAAGCGAAGCUCUUGAUCGAAGCCCCAGUAAACGGCGGCCGUAACUAUAACGGUCCUAAGGUAGCGAAAUUCCUUGUCGGGUAAGUUCCGACCUGCACGAAUGGCAUAAUGAUGGCGGCGCUGUCUCCAGCAGAGGCUCAGUGAAAUCGAAAUCGCUGUGAAGAUGCAGUGUACCCGCGGCUAGACGGAAAGACCCCGUGAACCUUUACUGCAGCUUGACACUGAACUUUGACCUUACUUGUGUAGGAUAGGUGGGAGGCUUUGAAGCUGGAACGCUAGUUCCAGUGGAGCCGUCCUUGAAAUACCACCCUGGUAAUGUUGAGGUUCUAACUCUGUCCCGUGAUCCGGGACGAGGACCGUGUCUGGUGGGUAGUUUGACUGGGGCGGUCUCCUCCUAAAGAGUAACGGAGGAGUACGAAGGUGCGCUCAGCGUGGUCGGAAAUCACGCGUAGAGUAUAAAGGCAAAAGCGCGCUUAACUGCGAGACCCACAAGUCGAGCAGGUACGAAAGUAGGUCUUAGUGAUCCGGUGGUUCUGUAUGGAAGGGCCAUCGCUCAACGGAUAAAAGGUACUCUGGGGAUAACAGGCUGAUACCGCCCAAGAGUUCAUAUCGACGGCGGGGUUUGGCACCUCGAUGUCGGCUCAUCUCAUCCUGGGGCUGAAGCAGGUCCCAAGGGGAUGGCUGUUCGCCAUUUAAAGAGGUACGCGAGCUGGGUUUAGAACGUCGUGAGACAGUUCGGUCCCUAUCUACCGUGGGCGCUGGAAAUUUGAGAGGAUCUGCUCCUAGUACGAGAGGACCAGAGUGGACGAACCUCUGGUGUACCGGUUGUGACGCCAGUCGCAUCGCCGGGUAGCUAUGUUCGGAAGGGAUAACCGCUGAAAGCAUCUAAGCGGGAAGCCUACCUCAAGAUAAGAUUUCCCUAGGACUUUAUGUCCUCUAAAGAGCCGUUCGAGACUAGGACGUUGAUAGGUUGGAUGUGGAAGCAUAGUGAUAUGUGAAGCUGACCAAUACUAAUUGCUCGUGAGGCUUGACUAU
rnacentral:rRNA from 2 species